ACGUAGGGUCCAAGCGUUAUUCGGAAUUACUGGGCGUAAAGCGUACGUAGGCGGUUUGGUAAGUUGGAUGUGAAAUCCCCCUGCUCAACGGGGGGGACUGUGUCCAAAACUACCUAACUAGAGCAUAGUAGAGGCAAGUGGAAUUUGCGGUGUAGGAGUGACAUCCGUAGAUAUCGCAAGGAACACCAAUGGCGAAGGCAGCUUGCUGGGCUAUUGCUGACGCUCAGGUACGAAAGCGUGGGGAGCGAACGG
rnacentral:rRNA from 1 species